rnacentral:rRNA from 1 species
GACGAACGCUGGCGGCGUGCUUAACACAUGCAAGUCGAACGGAAAGGCCCUGCUUUUGUGGGGUGCUCGAUUGGCGAACGGGUGAGUAUCACGUGAGUAACCUGCCCUUGACUUUGGGAUAACUUCAGGAAACUGGGGCUAAUACCGGAUAGGAGCUCCUGCUGCAUGGUGGGGGUUGGAAAGUUUCGGCUGGUGGGGAUGGACGCGCGGCUUAUCAGCUUGUUGGUGGGGUAGUGGCUUACCAAGGCUUUGACCGGUGGCCGGCACGAGAGGGUGACCGGCCACAAGGGGACUGAGAUACGGCCCAGACUGCUACGGGAGGCAGCAGUGGGGAAUAUUGCACAAUGGGCGCAAGCCGGAUGCAGCAACGCCGCGUGCGGGAUGACGGCCUUCGGGUUGUAAACCGCUUUCGCCUGUGACGAAGCGUGAGUGACGGUAAUGGGUAAAGAAGCACCGGCUAACUACGUG